rnacentral:rRNA from 1 species
CCUACGGGAGGCAGCAGUGGGGAAUAUUGCACAAUGGGGGAAACCCUGAUGCAGCGACGCCGCGUGAGUGAAGAAGUAAUUCGUUACGUAAAGCUCUAUCAGCAGGGAAGAAAUACUGACCUUACGGUCAGCAGACGGUACCUGAGUAAGAAGCCCCGGCUAACUACGUGCCAGCAGCCGCGGUAAUACGUAGGGGGCAAGCGUUUUCCGGAUUUACUGGGGGGAAAGGAGGCGUAGCCGGUGCGCCAAGACUGGAGUGAAAUGCCGGAGCUUAACUGCGGAACUGCUUUGGAAACUGGCGAACUAGAGUGCGGGAGGGGUAAGCGGAAUUCCUAGUGUAGCGGUGAAAUGCGUAGAUAUUAGGAGGAACACCGGUGGCGAAGGCGGCUUACUGGACCGUAACUGACGUUGAGGCUCGAAGGCGUGGGGAGCAAACAGGAUUAGAUACCCUAGUAGUC